rnacentral:rRNA from 1 species
GAUGAACGCUGGCGGCGUGCCUAAUACAUGCAAGUCGAGCGAACAGACGAGGAGCUUGCUCCUCUGACGUUAGCGGCGGACGGGUGAGUAACACGUGGAUAACCUACCUAUAAGACUGGGAUAACUUCGGGAAACCGGAGCUAAUACCGGAUAAUAUAUUGAACCGCAUGGUUCAAUAGUGAAAGACGGUUUUGCUGUCACUUAUAGAUGGAUCCGCGCCGCAUUAGCUAGUUGGUAAGGUAACGGCUUACCAAGGCAACGAUGCGUAGCCGACCUGAGAGAGUGAUCGGCCACACUGGAACUGAGACACGGUCCAGACUCCUACGGGAGGCAGCAGUAGGGAAUCUUCCGCAAUGGGCGAAAGCCUGACGGAGCAACGCCGCGUGAGUGAUGAAGGUCUUCGGAUCGUAAAACUCUGUUAUUAGGGAAGAACAAAUGUGUAAGUAACGAUGCACGUCUUGACGGUACCUAAGCAGAAAGCCACGGCUAACUACGU